GCACACUUAGCUCAGUGGUUAGAGCACCCUUCUAGAGUUCAGGGAAAACAAGUCAUGGGUUUGAGUCCCAUAGUGCACA
rnacentral:tRNA from 1 species